rnacentral:rRNA from 1 species
UACGGAGGAUGCAAGCGUUAUCCGGAAUGAUUGGGCGUAAAGCGUCCGCAGGUGGCCGUGUAAGUCUGCUGUCAAAGAGCGAAGCUCAACUUCGUAAAGGCAGUGGAAACUACACGGCUAGAGUGCGUUCGGGGCAGAGGGAAUUCUUGGUGUAGCGGUGAAAUGCGUAGAUAUCGGAAGGAACAUCAGUGGCGAAGGCGACUUCCUGGACCAAUACUGACGCUCAGGUGCGAAAGCGUGGGGAGCAAACGGG